GGCCUUCUUGGUCGUGAUAGCCCUGUUUCUUUCCUAAGCUUGAGCACCUCUUGAGGAUCUGUUUCAGAACUGCUGUUUGAGACAACUUGUUUGAUUUCCUGAUAGCCAUUAUCUGGAGUUAAGGAGUGCUCAAAGCUUUGUAUUUGUGCUAGUGAGGAGAAUAGAUCAAAGAUUUGUCUUCUGAGUUGUUGAGAGAUGGAGAAAAAAAAGAGAG
rnacentral:misc_RNA from 1 species